CACGUAGGGUGCGAGCGUUGUCCGGAAUUAUUGGGCGUAAAGAGCUCGUAGGCGGUGUGUCGCGUCGGCCGUGAAAACCUGCAGCUUAACUGUGGGCGUGCGGUCGAUACGGGCAUCACUGGAGUUCGGCAGGGGAGACUGGAAUUCCUGGUGUAGCGGUGAAAUGCGCAGAUAUCAGGAGGAACACCGGUGGCGAAGGCGGUUCUCUGGGCCUGUACUGACGCUGAGGAACGAAAGCGUGGGGAGCGAACAGG
rnacentral:rRNA from 1 species